UCGUGUGUGUUGACAUAUUUUGAACAAAAAGGAAAAGUAAGAUGAAGAAGGCUGUAUGUAGAUUGUUUAUGCAUUUAUUUAUUUUAUUGUUAAGUUUGAUUGAUUGAUAGUGAGCUAUUCAGGGGAGCAUUUGUUUUUUUUUUUUUUUUUUUGUUAUAUAUGUUUCUUCUAUUAUGAUGUUGACGCAAUUUUGAGGAAUGUUACGAGUAUACCCACCGAUUUUAAUAUUGUUCAGCCUCAUAACUCGUU
rnacentral:lncRNA from 1 species